rnacentral:misc_RNA from 1 species
GAUGAAGAACGUAGCGAAAUGCGAUAAGUAAUGUGAAUUGCAGAAUUCAGUGAAUCAUCGAAUCUUUGAACGCAUCUUGCGCUCCUUGGUAUUCUGAGGAGCAUGCCUGUUUGAGUGUCAUUAAAUUCUCAACUACACUGACUUUGAAUUGGUGUGGCUUGGAUUUGGGGGGAAAAUUGUUGUGGGCUUUUUGUAUAGUCUGCUCCCCUGAAAUUGAUUAGCGGUACCUUUGUGGAACUGUCUACAGGUGUGAUAAUUAUCUACAUCUUAGACAUCUGCUGGAAUGCUGCUUUCUAAUCCUUACUUGUAUUGACAAUCUUGACCUCAAAUCAGGUAGGACUACCCGCUGAACUUAAGCAUAUCAAUAAGCGGAGGA